rnacentral:tRNA from 1 species
CACUAAGUGGCUGAAAGUAAGCAAUGGAAUUUUAAACCAUUUAAUAAUAACGUAACUAAUAUUCUUAGUGA